rnacentral:rRNA from 1 species
GUGAGGAAUAUUGGACAAUGGGCGCAAGCCUGAUCCAGCCAUGCCGCGUGCAGGAAGACGCAUCUAUGGUGUGUAAACUGCUUUUGUACGGGAAGAAACACUCCCUCGUGAGGGAGCUUGACGGUACCGUAAGAAUAAGGAUCGGCUAACUCCGUGCCAGCAGCCGCGGUAAUACGGAGGAUCCAAGCGUUAUCCGGAAUCAUUGGGUUUAAAGGGUCCGUAGGCGGUUUAAUAAGUCAGUGGUGAAAGCCCAUCGCUCAACGAUGGAACGGCCAUUGAUACUGUUAGACUUGAAUUACAAGGAAGUAACUAGAAUAUGUAGUGUAGCGGUGAAAUGCUUAGAUAUUACAUGGAAUACCAAUUGCGAAGGCAGGUUACUACUUGUGGAUUGACGCUGAUGGACGAAAGCGUGGGGAGCGAACGGGAUUAGAUACCCGAGUAGUCC